AGCAGCCGCGGUAAUUCCAGCUCCAAUAGCGUAUAUUAAAGUUGUUGCAGUUAAAAAGCUCGUAGUUGAAUUUCGGGGUUAGUAGGUUGGUCAUGCCUCUGGUAUGUACUGGUCUCACUGAUUCCUCCUUCCUGAUGAGCCGUAAUGCCAUUAAUUUGGUGUUGCGGGGAAUUUGGACUGUUACUUUGAAAAAAUUUAGAGUGUUUAAAGCAGGCUCACGCCUUGAAUACAUUAGCAUGGAAUAAUGAAAUAGGACGUUUGAUUCUAUUUUGUUGGUUUCUAGGAUCGACGUAAUGAUUAAUAGGGAUAGUUGGGGGCAUUAGUAUUCAAUUGUCAGAGGUGAAAUUCUUGGAUUUAUUGAAGACUAACUACUGCGAAAGCAUUUGCCAAGGAUGUUUUCAUUAAUCAAGAACGAAAGUUAGGGGAUCGAAGACGAUCAGAUACCGUCGUAGUCUUAACCAUAAACUAUGCCGACUAGGGAUCGGAUGAUGUUAAUUUUUUAAUGACUCAUUCGGCGCCU
rnacentral:rRNA from 1 species